ACGGGUGAGUAACGCGUGGGAAUCUACCCAUCUCUACGGAAUAACGCAUGGAAACGUGUGCUAAUACCGUAUACGCCCUUUUGGGGAAAGAUUUAUCGGAGAUGGAUGAGCCCGCGUUGGAUUAGCUAGUUGGUGGGGUAAAGGCCUACCAAGGCGACGAUCCAUAGCUGGUCAGAGAGGAUGAUCAGCCACAUUGGGACUGAGACACGGCCCAAACUCCUACGGGAGGCAGCAGUGGGGAAUAUUGGACAAUGGGCGCAAGCCUGAUCCAGCCAUGCCGCGUGAGUGAUGAAGGCCUUAGGGUUGUAAAGCUCUUUCACCGGUGAAGAUAAUGACGGUAACCGGAGAAGAAGCCCCGGCUAACUUCGUGCCAGCAGCCGCGGUAAUACGAAGGGGGCUAGCGUUGUUCGGAAUUACUGGGCGUAAAGCGCACGUAGGCGGACAUUUAAGUCAGGGGUGAAAUCCCGCAGCUCAACUGCGGAACUGCCUUUGAUACUGGGUGUCUAGAGUAUGGAAGAGGUAAGUGGAAUUGCGAGUGUAGAGGUGAAAUUCGUAGA
rnacentral:rRNA from 1 species